ACAUUCUUGGACGCAAAAUGGUUAAGUAAUUCAGCUGCAGCAGUUGAUAAGUAAAAUGGUUACCAUUAUUCAUCCUCACAUCUCUUCCAUUUGCAUUUAUCACAGACCAUGCGAUUUGCAGCAGUUGUAUGCAUUUUUGGCUGGCUUACUGUAUAUUUUGCCAAGGAUGCUAUGAUGCUCUAUGCUGGAAGAGUUUUGCUGGGGUAUUGUACUGGAGUUCUUUCCUAUGUGGUGAACAUCUAUAGUUCUCAAUAUAUGUACCUAAAUCUUCAUUCUUAUGUUUCUAAACCUUUUGUUUAAGCAAUGGAAACAUGUCCCACUCUCAAACAUUCUUUAAAAAGUUUCAUUUAUGCACACCACACUCUAUGCACUAACAACUCCUGGGGUUAUAAUAACACAUGUGCCUUUGUAUAUAUCUGAAAUAGCACCAAAGGGUAUCUGAGGAGGCCUUGCAACCUCAAACCAGUUAUUCACCUGUUCAGGGUGUUCAGCUGCUUACAUUAUUGGAGCACUUGUUUCAUGGCGAUGUUUGGUUGUAGUAGAUAAUCACAGAUAUAUUUACAUGUAUCAUGUAUGUUGACAAAAUGAGCAUCAAGAGAAACUAAUGUAGCAUUUCAUGCAGGAUUGAUACCUUGUGUUGUCCUACUUGUUGGGUUUUUCU